CAGGGCUAGGAAGACAGAAAAGCUGGCUUAUUGCUGCUUAUUGGUUUUGGGGACUGCAGAGAAGACUCAUUGGCUGGAGUUGAAUCCACAGCAAAGGGUUGGCAUCAUCUGGAAGUGACUUCACUCACAUGUCUGCAGAGGACAUGGGGCUUGGCUGCAGGACCUAUAGGAGACCUCCCAGGUACUCUGGGAUUCCAGGUAGCAGAGCAGUCUCAGGACAUUCAGAGCUUUGACUUGGUGAUCAAUAGCACCAUAGGACAGAUCGUGAUACAGAAAACAGCAGUCUAGCCACAGAGGCUGGGUUUGGUUGAUUUCCACAGGCACAUGGAGGACAGGAAUGGUGGGAUCCGGUUUGAGCUCCCAGUCUCAUUAUGACUUUUGACCUCUUCCUGUACCCUCUGCAGCAGUGCAGCAUGGAGCCUACUGGGUCUCUAACCUACUUAACUCACCUCUGUGACCACUGAGGAUGCGGGAGUUGUCUCUGCUGACCAAGGGGACAUGGGCAGAGAAGCAAAGGCCCCUUACUCUCCCUCUGUCCAUUCCAGUGUGCUGGCCGCAACAGAAUGGGAAUCCUUCAGUCAUCACCUGCUGGAGACUCAGCUUCAGGGAUGGGAGCCUGUGUCCAGAAAAACUGGGCUAUAGAUUGAAGUCUCAGAAGCAGGAAGGUUGGAGAUGGGUGGGGCACCAGAGCCCCUGUGGUUAUUGCUGAUAAGAUAUGCAGGGGCU
rnacentral:lncRNA from 10 species